rnacentral:rRNA from 1 species
AUUGAACGCUGGCGGCCGGCCUAACACAUGACAGUCGAACGAGUGGCGGACGGGUGAGUAAUGUCUGGGACACUGCCUGAUGGAGGGGGAUAACUACUGGAAACGGUAGCUAAUACCGCAUACCAUCAGAUGUGCCCAGCUGGGAUUAGCUUGUUGGUGGGGUAACGGCUCACCAAGGCGACGAUCCCUAGCUGGUCUGAGAGGAUGACGAGCCAAACUGGAACUCAGACACGGUCCAGACGCCUACGGGAGGCAGCAGUGGGGAAUAUUGCACAAUGGGCGCAAGCCUGAUGCAGCCAUGCCGCGUGUAUGAAGAAGGCCUUCGGGUUGUAAAGUACUUUCAGCGGGGAGGCGUUACCCGCAGAAGAAGCACCGGCUAACUCCGUGCCAGCAGCCGCGGUAAUUC